rnacentral:rRNA from 1 species
AUUGAACGCUGGCGGCAUGCUUUACACAUGCAAGUCGAACGGUAACAGGCCGCAAGGUGCUGACGAGUGGCGAACGGGUGAGUAAUGCAUCGGAACGUGCCCAGUAGUGGGGGAUAGCCCGGCGAAAGCCGGAUUAAUACCGCAUACGACCUGAGGGUGAAAGGGGGGGAUCGCAAGAACUCUCGAUAUUGGAGCCGCCGAUGUCAGAUUAACUAGUUGGUGGGGUAAAGGCCUACCAAGGCAACGAUCUGUAGUUGGUCUGAGAGGACGACCAGCCACACUGGGACUGAGACACGGCCCAGACUCCUACGGGAGGCAGCAGUGGGGAAUUUUGGACAAUGGGCGCAAGCCUGAUCCAGCAAUGCCGCGUGCAGGAAGAAGGCCUUCGGGUUGUAAACUGCUUUUGUCAGGGAAGAAAUCUUCUGGGCUAAUACCCCGGGAGGAUGACGGUACCGUAAGAAUAAGCACCGGCUAACUACGUGCCAGCAGCCGCCGUAACAC